CUCACGGUCGUGGUGGUGCAUGACAUGCCUUGGACCUAAUUCUUGAAUCUGUGCAGCGAGGGAAUCUCUGCCCCAACCUCAGCAGCUGCUUCUCUCAAGUGCACCAGGAGCUGAGUGAAGUUUGCAGUGAGUUGAUGCCCUCUGCUGGAUACGAGGAGCUUCUGAAUGAAAAGCUGCUCUUCCAGGGCAGGACCCCUACCAGGAGUGAGUUGGGCAGCUCACAACAGAGUUGCAGCUCGUGAAUGAACCAACUAGAAGAAACUAUGGAGGGAGAUGGUACAGGUGCAUGGACUUGUAUGAAGCCCAGGUCCAACAGUCUGCAGAACUUAGAGGGGAUGGGACAACUGAUCCGUAUACAUACGUCCGAAUCAAGCUUU